rnacentral:misc_RNA from 1 species
GUAUAAAGAACAGGUGAGUCAUCGAAUCUUUGAACGCACAUUGCGCCCCUUGGUAUUCCAUGGGGCAUGCCUGUUCGAGCGUCAUUUGUACCCUCAAGCUUUGCUUGGUGUUGGGUGUUUGUCCUCUCCUUUGCGUUUGGACUCGCCUUAAAGCAAUUGGCAGCCAGUGUUUUGGUAUUGAAGCGCAGCACAAUUUGCGAUUCUAGCCGACAGCACUUGCGUCCAUAAGCCUUUUUUUAACUUUUGACCUCGGAUCAGGUAGGGAUACCCGCUGAACUUAAGCAUAUCAAUAAGCGGAGG